GCGUUUGUAGCUCAGUUGGAUAGAGUGGUGGCCUCCGAAGCCGCAGGUCGCGCGUUCGAGUCGCGCCAAACGUA
rnacentral:tRNA from 1 species